rnacentral:rRNA from 1 species
CGCGUGGGAACCUGCCUUUGGGUACGGAAUAACUGUGGGAAACUGCGGCUAAUACCGUAUGACGCCGAGAGGCCAAAGAUUUAUCGCCCAUUGAGGGGCCCGCGUCGGAUUAGCUAGUUGGUGGGGUAAUGGCCUACCAAGGCGACGAUCUGUAGCUGGUUUGAGAGGAUGAUCAGCCACACUGGGACUGAGACACGGCCCAGACUCCUACGGGAGGCAGCAGUGGGGAAUAUUGGACAAUGGGCGCAAGCCUGAUCCAGCAAUGCCGCGUGAGUGAAGAAGGCCCUAGGGUUGUAAAGCUCUUUCGUCAGGGAAGAUAAUGACGGUACCUGAAGAAGAAGCCCCGGCUAACUCCGUG